CAAUAGCGUAUAUUAAAGUUGUUGCAGUUAAAAAGCUCGUAGUUGGAUUUCUGGCGUGACGAGACUGACCCGCCACGUUUACGUGUUUGUGAGUGUCGGCGCUCGUCUGCCAUCCUUCCAGAGGACGGUCUCUACCCUUCACUGGGCCGGAGUCGCGAUCUGGAACUUUUACUUUGAAGAAAUUAGAGUGUUCAAAGCAGGCUAGCGCUAUGAAUACAUUAGCAUGGAAUAAUAAUUUAGGACUUUGGUUCUAUUUUGUUGGUUUCUAGGACUGGAGUAAUGAUUGAUAGGGAUAGUUGGGGGUGCUAGUAUUCAGUGGCCAGCGGUGAAAUGCUCGGACUCACUGAAGACUAACUACUGCGAAAGCAUUCACCAAGGAUGUCUUCUUUAA
rnacentral:rRNA from 1 species